UACGUAGGUGGCAAGCGUUGUCCGGAUUUACUGGGCGUAAAGAGCGCGCAGGCGGUCGAUUAAGUCGAAUGUGAAAGCCCCCGGCUCAACUGGGGAGGGUCAUUCGAUACUGAUCGACUUGAAGGCAGGAGAGAGAAGUGGAAUUCCCGGUGUAGUGGUGAAAUGCGUAGAUAUCGGGAGGAACACCAGUGGCGAAGGCGACUUCUUGGCCUGUUCUUGACGCUGAGGCGCGGAAAGCUGGGGGAGCAAACGGGG
rnacentral:rRNA from 1 species